GCUCCGCGACCGCAGGGCCGGCGCCUCCACCGAGCGUGGCGACUCGUGGCAGCCCUGUCCCGGCGCCCGCCCGUGAGGCCCGGGGGUGCGAGGCCCGCAGCGCGCAGGCGGGGGAGCGAGGCCAGGUGUUCGGGAAGAGCAGCGGGAGAGGUGAGGCCCACAGAAGCAGAUCUUAAGAAGUCAGAGAGAGUGGAAUGCAAAUUCAGACAGCCCGGACUCUCUCAUCCCAGAUCUUCUGCUUAUGAAAUAAUGCCUUUGGGCAAAUUGUUGAACCAGUUCAAGCUCCAGCGGCCUCAUCUGUAACACGGAGGAUGCCGAUGACACCUGUGUGGGCAGGUGACUCUGAGGAGCCAAUGAAGUGAUACAGGUCACUCCAACUGCCAUGAGCCACUCCUGAUGUGCCACCUGCUUCCUUCCCCUCUCUUGGGAGGCAUCCUUCACCCUGCCACUGACGUGAGCUUCUCCUGUGUCCGAAACUCCCCCUCUUCCGGACCUCCCACUCAGAAACACCCCCUGGCAGGGUGGCAGCCCUCAUGAACCGGAGCUGCGUGGGUCCUUCGGGUGCAUCUCUGCAGUGAGGCCAGGCCUGGUGGAGGACGUGUGCCCGGAAUGUCCCUCCUCACCCAGAAGCCCGAUACCCAGGCCAGCCGGUGUUUACCCACACCACCUGCCUGCUCUUUCUGUCAACAGGGGUAUAUUUUUCACAGUGUUUGUUUGUUUGUUUGUUUGUUUGUUUGUUUGUUUGUUUGUUUUGCUGCUUUGGGUUGAGAAACUGUAUCUCCCCAGUCACCUCCAUCAAUGGGAGCUGCUCCCGGGACGGUGCUGCUACGUGGCAGGUCCUCGGUAUAUAAAUGCUGGGUUCCUCUUCCUUCCUUCCCCUUCCCCUUAGAUUCCACCUCCUGGGCUUUUCUGGUGCUAAGUCAAGUUACUGCAGGAAGAGCUUUUAUUGGCAAGAAAGACACGAAUGGGAAACAGAAACUCUUGACGAGCUGAGGCAGCAGCCCCUGUCCCUCCCGGAAAGGCCCCAGAAUCAGUCUGUCCUCCAUCUCCCAGCUCUGCCCAGCUUCCCUCUACCCCUGCUCGGAGUCCUGCUGGCAUUGGCCACCUAGCUCAAGAACUCCCCCCUCAGUGCCCUCAGCUAGCUCAGCUUCUAUGAUCCGUUGGAACUUUCCAACACGGGAACCGAAUAGCCCACCUCUUCAGGGCACGGUUGCUGGCUGGCCAACCCCGUGGGGCUGCUGCAGGGGCGGGUGACCGCGUGCUUCAGCUGUACGGCAGAUCUGGAGCCCUCUGCUCUGGCCUGGGCUUAGGCAUGGCCACAUCACACUCACAGAGGGACAUCCAGAACAACCACCCCUUCCCCAAACUUCACUGGACACUGGGAGCCAUAGAGAAGCCUGCGGCCUUGUCUCCUGGGAGUGCUCUGUGGACAGGCCAGGCCGGGGGUGGGCGUGGGGGGGUAGGAAGGUGCAGUUCAGCAAGGAGACAGGGGAGGGGUGAGGUGUGCCAGAGACACCUGGACCUGAGACGGCACUUUUCCCCUUUUUCCUCACUGUCCCCUCUCCCGGAGAUGCAGAGGCCUGCACUGGGGCUGAGAACAGACUCUGACCUCUCUUGGGACAACGUGGCCCUUCUUUCUCAGGGGAUGUCAGUGACUAAUCACCUGCAGGGUUUUGCUCUUCUUCCCUGAGUCCACUCUGGCACGAAAGGAUCCCAGAGGCCAGAAGAUGGUUUGGGCCCCCUGACACUGAUGUCAGAGAAUGCUACAAAUGUGUCACACAGGUGGCAUGGAAGUACCCACCCCCCCCACCCCCCGGGACGAGGCAACAACAAGAAGCAUUUGGAAUUUUGAAAACUUAGAAACAGGGGCGCACCCAGGCCUCAAAGGUGGGGGCACGUGCCUGCAGGUGUUGACAUCUCUGGGGUGGGUGAGGGGGUGACAAAGCUUCCCAGGUGUUAGAGUGGGAGGUAAGGAGGGGGCGGCAGGUGUCCCCUCCAGCUUUCCAGCGCCCUCUAGCGCCUCCUACUGGCACCCACCAACAGGCAGCAGCUGGCAAAGCCACAAGUGGUUUGAAGCCGCACAGAAGGGAGGUGAGAAGAAAGAUGGGCACACCGGUGAGCUGGAGCUGGAGUCAGCUCCCAUGCACCUGUGUGUGUGUGUGUGUGUGUGUGUGCGCACACGCGUGCAGACCAUAAGCUCCCUCCCUGCCAACAGACUGUGAGUCCUGCCCUGUGGGUGUCAGAGCUGUCAGCAAACCUCAAGGCUCUGGCUGCCGGGGACUUCUCUGUUCUGAACUGCCAGCCCCUGGGCCCCAUACCCUCUCACCCCAAACAGGCCCUGCGUGGAGAUCUUCUGUCCAAAGGAAGCUCCAAACCCUUCAUCUCUGGAGGGAUCCAGUAGAAAAAUGUUAUAAUGCCUGCCUGCAUGAGGAUCCCAGGAGCUCAGAGAAAAGUACCCUCUGGGCUACCUUGCUCAGCACCUAGUAAACACAGCGGAACUCCUUUACGGAUGGGAGGUACAAGCUAAAAAUGCAGCAUCACCUCCUUAGAGAGGUCUUCGCAGCCCGCUCUAAUUAGGGCCCCCUGCCACCCUGUUGUUCUCCAUCACCGUGCGUUGUCAUUCUCAUCAGAGCACGUGUCAUGAAGCGCAGUUCUAUUUUUCAUUAUCGUGUGUUUAUUGCCUGCCUCCUCUAGACAGCAGACUCGCAAGGGCAGGGCCAUGCGGCUUCCUUCACCACUACAGGCCUGGGACCUCGCCCAGUGCCUGGCACACAAUAGGUCUCAAUAAGAGUAGGUGAAAUGCAUCACCUCAAAAAUAUAAAAUGGCAUGUCUGUGUGGCUCAGUUGGUUAAGCAUCUGAUUUUGGCUCGGGUCAUGAUCUCAUGGUCUUGAGAUCGAAUCCCACCUCGGGCUCCACACUCAGCCU